rnacentral:rRNA from 1 species
AUGCAUGGUGGCCUACGUAUUCUCAACUUGGAAAAAUUUGCUACUGCCCUUCGGAUCCGGUGGUUAUGGGGAGCUUGGACGGAUCCAAGUAAGCCUUGGGUAAACUUGGGGAACCCGUGUGAUGACAAAGAUAAAGACAUAUCUGCUGCUGCCACCAAGGUUCUGAUUGGAGAUGGGAUAAGGGCUUCGUUUUGGGAGUCUACUUGGCUGAAUGGUAUGAGACCCAAAGACAUAGCGCCAAAUAUUUUUGCGAUCUCUGCAAGAAAAAAUUGCACUGUCCAGAAGGCCUUACAUAAUAACACAUGGGUCUCCAGAGUGCACAUUGGUGGGAACCUUGAUGUGAACCACAUAGCCGAGUUCGUCAACCUUUGGAGUGAGCUAUCACACAUUCACCUCAACCCCGGCGUGGCUGAUUCAAUUUCCUGGAAGCUCACCAAUGAUGGCCAAUAUUCAGCGGCGACGGUAUACCAUGCACAAUUUCUUGGCCUUAUCGACUCAGAUAUGCCUCUUUUGGUCUGGAAGAACUGGGCUCCUCCCAAAUGUAAAUUUUUUGCUUGGUUGGCCAUCAACAAUAGGAUCUGGACGACAGACCGGCUUCAGCGUAGGGGCUGGCCCAACUGUAGCCUUUGCCCGCUAUGCAAACAAACGCCAGAAUCAGCAGCUCACCUUCUCUUCCAAUGUCGUUACACGGUUAGAGUUUGGGGAAUGAUCAAAACAUGGCUCGGUUUACAUGAUGUCCAUCCUAUAGAUUGGGGAGGCAUGGUUUCAGUCAAGGAGCGGUGGCGCAACAUAGCUUCCGGGAGGUCACAAUCUCGAAGGGCACUUCUUUCCCUUAUGCUUCUUAUCUCUUGGGAAAUUUGGAAAGAGCGAAGUGCACGUGUGUUCCGCAGCACGGAUAUUCCGGUCGGGGUGCUUGUGACUUGCGUCAAAGGGAAGCUUUGCUAUGGUGCCUUGCCGGGGCGAAAUAUUUGUGUAAUAUAA